AUCUCUCUGCAUCCUUUUCUUCCCCCCAGCCCAGCCUUGCUCUGAACUACCCCCACAUCCUGUGCUGUCCUACAGUCACCCAGAACAUCAGGACAUUGCCAUGGUCACCUUGCUGAGCUUCAGGGGAGCAUUCUCCUCUGUGAUUCUGGAGAGGUCAGCCCCAUUGUUGAAGACCCGGGUGAUGCCCAGUGGACUCAUGAGCGUCUUCAAGUCAUAGCUUCCAGAGAUGGACAGUUUGGGGAAGUGGAUCUCGGCUAACCUGGUGGGCAGGAACUUAGAGAUGAGCUCCUUGUUGAGAGUUUGCUCCAGAUGCUGCAUCUUGCCAUCAUCGGGCAGGAGGAAGACAGCAGUGGCGUUGCCCAGGUAAUCCAUCAGCACCACCCAGCUGGACAGCGUGGUGCAAUAGUGCACGUCAAACAUGCUCGUGAGGGUCAUCAUGGGCACCUUCACCGUGGUGGACUCGUCCACGUGGAAGUCAGCGUCUGCAGUGUGCUCGGGAUCGAAUGGCUUCUUCCACUUGCCUGAAGAGGGGAGAGUAAGAGGAGACCUUAGCCAAUGAGGUGGUGACACAGGCCGUUGACUUUUCAUGUGCACAGGUCGGGGGUCACUACUAGCCUUCUAGGCUGUCCAGGCACUUUGAUGAGGGUAACUCAGGAUCACAGAAGCUGAGAGCUACCAUCCCCCUUGUGCCUAGAAAAUAUCUUACGUAAUUGUUAGAUGCUUAUAGAAAGGUGACUUGGGCUUAUAAAUGGAAUUCCUGACAAUUCUAUUUGUUAGCUUCUUAUCAGGAGUGGCACACUCAUUGGCAAUUCAGUCAUCACUCAGGACAAAUGUGUUUGGCACCUCAAGCCCCUUUCUACAUCCAAGGGUUCAGUGCAGAAGCCUAUCUGUUGUAUAAGACCAUCACCAUCAAGAAUACUGGAGUAGGUGGGGACUUUGGGGAGCCACCAACAAGAAUCCAUCUCAGAUGGCUUAGAGUCUCAGAGACACAUCAACAAGGCCACUAGAGUGGGAGAGGCUCUCAGGGACCUGUCACCAAGGUCAUUAGAGUGGACACAGGUCUCAGGGACCCAUCUCUGAAGCUGUCAGAGUAGGCUGGGUUCUCAGGGACCCAAGAUCACCAAGAUCAAGGCUUCCAGCGAGAGAAGGACAGCAGGAACCCUAACCUCGCCUUCCUUUUGGAUAGGAAUUGGUGAAGGGGUUGGGGAGGAGUUGACACCUGCACUUGUUACAGAAGUGCUGGGAUUUGAGCUGUGCUGGCCUGAUAUUCUCCUCCACGGGACUCUGUUGGUGGCAAGGGAGUCACAAAGGCCAGAGCAGCUUCUGCCUUUGACUCCAGUCUCUGGGGAGUCUUGACCUAAUGACUUCCAGGCUGGAGGCCAUGCUUGGGAUGUUAGCUGAUCAGGUGCUUAUGUCCCGUGCACUGGGUAACACCCCCAAUUCUCUCAUCCCCACACAGCAGUCAGCUAGCUAGAUUUGAGCCAAUGUUUCCAGAGAUCAUCAUGGUGGUAUGCGACAGAAGUGAAGAUCAAGUACACUCCAUGGAAUGGCACUCACUUCAGACCAUCACAACCAGGAUGGUUGGUUCUGAAGCUGGGGAAGGACUGCACGUUCUACAACUCUCCUUUGUAGGGGAGGUGAACAUUAGGACAACAAAGGCCCUAAUUAGUCCUUCAAAGGAGUCAGUGGACUUGUUGUUUGAAGCCAAUUCCUAAGCUUAAUUGAUAAUUGGAAAAAUGUCAGAGUUUACACAUCAGGGAGUAGGGAACGUGAUGGGGCAAUACCACAGCCUGGAGUGAGAGCUCAGAAACCGGUCCUCGAGAAUAUGGAUGGGUGUCUCCAUGGACGCCAGCUCAAACUGGUUACACCAUCUUACCUUUAAAGAAAAUGUAAUUCGCCA
ensembl:antisense